GUGCCAGCCGCCGCGGUAAUACGUAGGUGGCAAGCGUUGUCCGGAUUUACUGGGCGUAAAGGAUGCGUAGGCGGAUUUUUAAGUGGGAUGUGAAAUUCCGAGGCUCAACCUCGGCGCUGCAUUCCAAACUGGAAGUCUAGAGUGCGGGAGAGGAAAGUGGAAUUCCUAGUGUAGCGGUGAAAUGCGUAGAGAUUAGGAAGAACACCAGUGGCGAAGGCGACUUUCUGGACCGUAACUGACGCUGAUGCAUGAAAGCGUGGGGAGCAAACAGGAUUAGAUACCCUGGUAGUCC
rnacentral:rRNA from 1 species